GGGUUGUGAGGUUAAGCGACUAAGCGUACACGGUGGAUGCCCUGGCAGUCAGAGGCGAUGAAGGACGUGCUAAUCUGCGAAAAGCGUCGGUAAGGUGAUAUGAACCGUUAUAACCGGCGAUGUCCGAAUGGGGAAACCCAGUGUGAUUCGUCACACUAUCGUUAACUGAAUACAUAGGUUAACGAGGCGAACCGGGGGAACUGAAACAUCUAAGUACCCCGAGGAAAAGAAAUCAACCGAGAUUCCCCCAGUAGCGGCGAGCGAACGGGGAGCAGCCCAGAGUCUGAAUCAGCUUGUGUGUUAGUGGAACGGUCUGGAAAGUCCGACGGUACAGGGUGAUAGUCCCGUACACCAAAAUGCACAGGCUGUGAACUCGAAGAGUAGGGCGGGACACGUGGUAUCCUGUCUGAAUAUGGGGGGACCAUCCUCCAAGGCUAAAUACUCCUGACUGACCGAUAGUGAACCAGUACCGUGAGGGAAAGGCGAAAAGAACCCCGGCGAGGGGAGUGAAAAAGAACCUGAAACCGUGUACGUACAAGCAGUGGGAGCACCUUCGGGUGUGACUGCGUACCUUUUGUAUAAUGGGUCAGCGACUUAUAUUCUGUAGCAAGGUUAACCGUAUAGGGGAGCCGCAGGGAAACCGAGUCUUAACUGGGCGUUAAGUUGCAGGGUAUAGACCCGAAACCCGGUGAUCUAGCCAUGGGCAGGUUGAAGGUUGGGUAACACUAACUGGAGGACCGAACCGACUAAUGUUGAAAAAUUAGCGGAUGACUUGUGGCUGGGGGUGAAAGGCCAAUCAAACCGGGAGAUAGCUGGUUCUCCCCGAAAGCUAUUUAGGUAGCGCCUCGUGAACUCAUCUUCGGGGGUAGAGCACUGUUUCGGCUAGGGGGUCAUCCCGACUUACCAACCCGAUGCAAACUACGAAUACCGAAGAAUGUUAUCACGGGAGACACACGGCGGGUGCUAACGUCCGUCGUGAAGAGGGAAACAACCCAGACCGCCAGCUAAGGUCCCAAAGUCAUGGUUAAGUGGGAAACGAUGUGGGAAGGCACAGACAGCCAGGAUGUUGGCUUAGAAGCAGCCAUCAUUUAAAGAAAGCGUAAUAGCUCACUGGUCGAGUCGGCCUGCGCGGAAGAUGUAACGGGGCUAAACCAUGCACCGAAGCUGCGGCAGCGACACUAUGUGUUGUUGGGUAGGGGAGCGUUCUGUAAGCCUGCGAAGGUGACCUGUGAGGGUUGCUGGAGGUAUCAGAAGUGCGAAUGCUGACAUAAGUAACGAUAAAGCGGGUGAAAAGCCCGCUCGCCGGAAGACCAAGGGUUCCUGUCCAACGUUAAUCGGGGCAGGGUGAGUCGACCCCUAAGGCGAGGCCGAAAGGCGUAGUCGAUGGGAAACAGGUUAAUAUUCCUGUACUUGGUGUUACUGCGAAGGGGGGACGGAGAAGGCUAUGUUAGCCGGGCGACGGUUGUCCCGGUUUAAGCAUGUAGGCUGAUUGUCCAGGCAAAUCCGGAUAAUCAAGGCUGAGGUGUGAUGACGAGGCACUACGGUGCUGAAGUAACAAAUGCCCUGCUUCCAGGAAAAGCCUCUAAGCAUCAGGUAACAUCAAAUCGUACCCCAAACCGACACAGGUGGUCAGGUAGAGAAUACCAAGGCGCUUGAGAGAACUCGGGUGAAGGAACUAGGCAAAAUGGUGCCGUAACUUCGGGAGAAGGCACGCUGGUGUGUAGGUGAAGCCCCUGCGGGUGGAGCUGAGACCAGUCGAAGAUACCAGCUGGCUGCAACUGUUUAUUAAAAACACAGCACUGUGCAAACACGAAAGUGGACGUAUACGGUGUGACGCCUGCCCGGUGCCGGAAGGUUAAUUGAUGGGGUUAUCCGUAAGGAGAAGCUCUUGAUCGAAGCCCCGGUAAACGGCGGCCGUAACUAUAACGGUCCUAAGGUAGCGAAAUUCCUUGUCGGGUAAGUUCCGACCUGCACGAAUGGCGUAAUGAUGGCCAGGCUGUCUCCACCCGAGACUCAGUGAAAUUGAACUCGCUGUGAAGAUGCAGUGUACCCGCGGCAAGACGGAAAGACCCCGUGAACCUUUACUAUAGCUUGACACUGAACAUUGAGCCUUGAUGUGUAGGAUAGGUGGGAGGCUUUGAAGCGUGGACGCCAGUCUGCGUGGAGCCAACCUUGAAAUACCACCCUUUAAUGUUUGAUGUUCUAACGUUGGCCCCUGACCGGGGUUGCGGACAGUGUCUGGUGGGUAGUUUGACUGGGGCGGUCUCCUCCCAAAGCGUAACGGAGGAGCACGAAGGUUAGCUAAUCCUGGUCGGACAUCAGGAGGUUAGUGCAAUGGCAUAAGCUAGCUUGACUGCGAGCGUGACGGCGCGAGCAGGUGCGAAAGCAGGUCAUAGUGAUCCGGUGGUUCUGAAUGGAAGGGCCAUCGCUCAACGGAUAAAAGGUACUCCGGGGAUAACAGGCUGAUACCGCCCAAGAGUUCAUAUCGACGGCGGUGUUUGGCACCUCGAUGUCGGCUCAUCACAUCCUGGGGCUGAAGUAGGUCCCAAGGGUAUGGCUGUUCGCCAUUUAAAGUGGUACGCGAGCUGGGUUUAGAACGUCGUGAGACAGUUCGGUCCCUAUCUGCCGUGGGCGCUGGAGAAUUGAGGGGGGCUGCUCCUAGUACGAGAGGACCGGAGUGGACGCAUCACUGGUGUUCGGGUUGUCAUGCCAAUGGCACUGCCCGGUAGCUAAAUGCGGAAGAGAUAAGUGCUGAAAGCAUCUAAGCACGAAACUUGCCCCGAGAUGAGUUCUCCCUGAGACUUUAAGUCUCCUGAAGGAACGUUAAAGACGAUGACGUUGAUAGGCCGGGUGUGUAAGCGCAGCGAUGCGUUGAGCUAACCGGUACUAAUGAACCGUGAGGCUUAACCUUACAACGCCGAAG
rnacentral:rRNA from 1 species